UGGGUCUCGGGAGCGCGCACCCCUGCUCACCAGGACCUUGAUCCCAGGGAGAGCCCAGGGACAGGUCUUCAUGAGGCCCUUGACACCAUAUUACAACAACAUAACCACGAUUGGAUGGCAAAAAGACCCGAUGAAAUUGCCUCAUUAGCCAACCAAGUAGCAAAGACUAUAGAAAAAGACAAACCCAAUUACUCGGACCUUAGACUCCCAGGGGAAAAACAAACAGCUAAACUAAUGGCAACUUCAAUAAUUAAAUAAAACCCUUACCCCCAAUUCUCCAUGGACACCAGAUCAAGACCCUGCCUCUUGUUGUGCAAAAACCCUGGACAUUUUUAAAGGGAUUGCCUCAAAUAUAAGCCAUGGCUCCAAUUUAAUCCAGAAUCAUUCUUCAAUGGUUUAACAAAUGCCUCCAGAAAACUCCUUCCCAGAUUAUGCUCAGCCAGCAUCUACAGACUUUAUCAGAACUAAACCCCAGCCAAGAUCAAUGACCAUCUAUUCUAACCAAAUCCAUACCCUUAUUGAAUUCUACACACAUUCCCCCUUCCCCGAGUGACCAGAUGAACCCAGAGCAGAGAGCUAUGCCACUUCGACAACAACUAAGGGACUCAAGAAGAACUGGAAUUCAUCAGCACCAAUACAUUUGGCAUGGUUUGAUUAAAAGGGGGGGAAAUGUGGACUUUUAUUACAAUAGGGACUUUGUGCUCCUAAAAGAACAAUGUCAAAUUAGCAGCUAUUUUAUCUGUUCAGAAGUGCUGUCGGAAUGCUGAAUUCCUAGAAAAGCCAGGAACUGGCCACACUUGCCUGACAAGCUUACAAAGGAACAAAGAACAUUACAUUCAUCCUACCUUCACCACCCCUUCACCAUCAGAUUACCUGAUGCGGACAUGCCCCGUAGCCCCAACCAAUCUCUAUCCUGUUUGCACAUACUUGCAGUGUCACUGCUUGCCCCAACUAAUCCCCUUAAAGGUCAGCUGCCGGCAGUAUCUGCCCUUAAAUACUGCAGUGUAGUUCUGACACCUGUGAGAGGAAGGAAGGAAAAAGGACUGGGUAGAAAGUUACUCAGGAAUGUAACUCUGAGAUAGUCUCAGCCAGCAGGGAAUUCUGGUGCAAUGGUACACAUAGAUGAGCUUGUCUUGGGAAGAAAUGGCCAGGCCCUAGCAUUUGUGCUGUCCUUAGUCAUUGGCCUUGACUUGAAAGCUGAGGGGGAUCCUGAAGUCAUGAUUGACGGAAGCUGUCUGCAAACUGCACUUGUACAAAAAGAUCCACAAGCCUAAAAGGAGUGCUGGACCAUUUAUUCAGGUCUUAGGUUGUCACAAGAAAUAUACUCUGUUUCUCUCCUUCUGAUCUACUAGGCAGAUGUCAAAACUCUUCUACGAACUCAUGUUCUUGUAAUUAUCUGAUUGACUGCUUUAUUCACCAGGUUCCAUGCUCCUUGACAGCAGGACUGUAUUAUUUUUGUACCACGAUUUUUUUUGACAGAGCCUGGCCAAUAUCUACUCAUUGAUCCUCUCAAUAAAAUGUUUGAAAGAAAGGAAGGCAGGAGGAUAAACAGAAGGAAUAAAUAAUUAGCUUACACCCAGUUGAUUUGUAGACCUUACCGUGACUGAAAUC